AUACGGAGGGUGCAAGCGUUACUCGGAAUCACUGGGCGUAAAGCGCGCGCAGGUGGCUAUUUAAGUUGGAUGUGAAAGCCUACGGCUCAACCGUAGAACUGCAUCCAAAACUAUUUAGCUAGAGUGUGGGAGAGGAAGAUGGAAUUAGUUGUGUAGGGGUAAAAUCCGUAGAGAUAACUAGGAAUACCAAAAGCGAAGGCAAUCUUCUGGAACACUACUGACGCUGAGGCGCGAAAGCGUGGGGAGCAAACGGGAUUAGAAACCCUAGUAGUCC
rnacentral:rRNA from 1 species